GACAGAGGCCUCAAGCGUUAGGCGGAAUCACUGGGCUUAAAGCGUGUGUAGGCGGAUCGUUAAGUGCCUUGUGAAAUCCCACGGCUUAACUGUGGAACGGCUGGGCAUACUGGGCGGUCUUGAGCCAUCUAGGGGCGACUGGAACAAACGGUGGAGCGGUGAAAUGCGUAGAGAUCGGCAGGAACACCCAGGGGGAAACCAGUGGACUGGCACGGUGCUGACGCUCAGGUGCGAAAGCGUGGGGAGCGAACCGG
rnacentral:rRNA from 1 species